rnacentral:rRNA from 1 species
UACGGAGGGGGCGAGCGUUAUUCGGAGUUACUGGGCGUAAAGGGCGCGUAGGCGGCGCACCAAGUCAGGCGUGAAAGCCCUGGGCUCAACCCGGGAAUUGCGCUUGAGACUGGUGUGCUUGAGUACGGGAGAGGAUAGUGGAAUUCCCAGUGUAGAGGUGAAAUUCGUAGAUAUUGGGAAGAACACCGGUGGCGAAGGCGGCUAUCUGGACCGUAACUGACGCUGAGGCGCGAAAGCGUGGGGAGCAAACAGG